rnacentral:rRNA from 1 species
UACGUAGGGGGCAAGCGUUGUCCGGAAUCAUUGGGCGUAAAGAGCGUGUAGGCGGCCCGAUAAGUCCGCUGUGAAAGUCCAGGGCUCAACCCUGGGAUGCCGGUGGAUACUGUCGGGCUCGAGUCCGGAAGAGGAGUGUGGAAUUCCUGGUGUAGCGGUGAAAUGCGCAGAUAUCAGGAAGAACACCAAUGGCGAAGGCAGCUCUCUGGGACGGUACUGACACUGAGACGCGAAAGCGUGGGGAGCGAACAGG